rnacentral:rRNA from 1 species
UGGGGGGAACCCUGAUCCAGCCAUGCCGCGUGUGUGAAGAAGGCCUUUUGGUUGUAAAGCACUUUAAGCGAGGAGGAGGCUACUGGUAUUAAUACUACCGGAUAGUGGACGUUACUCGCAGAAUAAGCACCGGCUAACUCUGUGCCAGCAGCCGCGGUAAUACAGAGGGUGCGAGCGUUAAUCGGAUUUACUGGGCGUAAAGCGUGCGUAGGCGGCUUUUUAAGUCGGAUGUGAAAUCCCUGAGCUUAACUUAGGAAUUGCAUUCGAUACUGGGAAGCUAGAGUAUGGGAGAGGAUGGUAGAAUUCCAGGUGUAGCGGUGAAAUGCGUAGAGAUCUGGAGGAAUACCGAUGGCGAAGGCAGCCAUCUGGCCUAAUACUGACGCUGAGGUACGAAAGCAUGGGGAGCAAACAGGAUUAGAUACCCUGGUAGUCCAUGCCGUAAACGAUGUCUACUAGCCGUUGGGGCCUUUGAGGCUUUAGUGGCGCAGCUAACGCGAUAAGUAGACCGCCUGGGGAGU